rnacentral:ncRNA from 1 species
UUGAAGUUAAAUUCUAGUUUAACAUUUAAAUUUAAAAUUGUAUUACAUGUAAUUUUUUUGAUUGUUUUAGAUACUUCUAAAGGAAGUGUUUAGUAAAUGCGCAGUAUUUAAUAUUAUUAAUUAUAAAUAUUAGAAAUAGUAAUUUUAUUAAAAAGAAUCAAAUUUCGUGCCAGCAGUUGCGGUUAUACGAUUUCUUUAAUUUAAGUGUAUAAGUUUCAGUUAAUAUAAUAAUAAUAUAAAAUAAUUAUAAUUUUGGUGAAAUAUAUUUUGUUUUAAAAAAUUAAUUUUAUGUCUGAAAAAUUUUUGUAUAAACUAGGAUUAGAUACCCUAUUAUUAAAAAUGUAAUAAAAAUAACUUGAUUACUAUUAGAAAUGAUCUUUAAAAUCAAAGAAUUUGGCGGUAAUUUGUCUUAUCAGAGGAACCUGUUUUAUAAUUGAUAAUUCACGAUAUAAAAAACUUUAAUUUUAUUUGUAUAUCUCUGUCAAGAAUGUUUUAUUAGAAAAAUUUUCUAGCAUUUUAUAUAUUGUAUGUCAGGUCAAGGUGCAGUUUAUAUUAAAGAAAAAAUGGGUUACAUUUAAAUUUAUAUUGAAUUAUUUUUUUAUUAAAAAAAUAUGAAAUUGGAUUUGAUAAUAAAUUAAUUAAAUUUAAUUGAUUGAAAUUAGUUAUAAAUUAUGUACAUAUCGCCCGUCACUCUCAUUACAUUAUUGAGAUAAGUCGUAACAAAGUAGCUGUACCGGAAGGUGUAGCUAGAAAGA